ensembl:lncRNA
CACGAGACGCCUCCCCCGACCACUGAGGUUGCUUUCAUUUGAACAAAAGGAAGGUGCGAACCGAGCAUAUGAGGGACCCACUCAAGGAAGCAAUCAGCACAGCAGACCACCGAAGAAAGGAGGUGUUACUGACCAACUAUCUGAAGACAUGAGAAUGUGUGGGUGCACCCGAGGGGACGGAGAGAAGAGAGAGGAGGCGUCGUGGGAUCCGCAGGGUUAUUGCCCUCAAGUUGGACUACUGGUUGACAGCUGAUAGGAAUCACUCAUUAACUCAGACAAAUACCAAUAGCAUACUGUUAAUUAAUGAACUUAUUGCAGCAGCGUAUGUUUCUAUUUAAGGCUUAAAUCAUGUGCCACAAUAAUGUAGUCUAAUGUUAUUGAGUUAAAAUAUCUUAAUUUGGGGGCUUUCCUAGUAAAUAUUGAUUGAUAUGAAUGUGAUUGAAUCAGCAUAUAUACUUAUGCCACGGGCUGCCAUCCCUCAAAAUCUCCUGCCACUCUAUUACCACCCCAUAAAUAUUUUUUCUAGAUCCGCCCCUGCAUAGACCAAAUGAAAUAGUCAAAGAACACGUUAAUUUUUUUUUCUCUCAAAGAUGACUUCUCUAAUCACAUUUGUGUUCAAUUGUUCAUGUUUCUGAUAUGUUUGGUUGUAAUUCGCUUUUUGAUGCUAUAAAAUGGUUUGAAAUGUCACUAGAUAAGAUGCAUUUCCUGCGGAAGAUGCAUUUGAAUUCUGAUCAAUUACAGAUAAGCAUUGUGUUAACAAAAAAACGGAAAUAGAGGUUUUAUUGUUGGCAAUCCCUAACGUGUUGCGAUCUCUCUGUAGUAAGGAUGUCAUGUUAUUAAAUGCAGUGCAGCAGUGCAAAAUGAAUGAUUUUUGUAUUAAUUUGAAUGGCCAGCAACCUCUGACACCAGUUUUAGAAACAUAUACAACUUACAACAGAGCAAAUUACUGUAUGUGAAAGCAGCACAGUACCACAUUCAGCUAUGGACAGUUCAUUCAUGAAAUGUAGGCUAGUCUAUAUCAUGUCCUACAUUUGUGAUAAGCAACACAUAAAAUACUAUGAGGGGUUGUUAGGGACAUUAUCUAGAAUUACCUCUCAACUUGAGUGCCAUAUUGUGUGUUUUGGAUGGAAUUUGUUUUUAUCCUCUGUUCUGUGCAGCAAUACCCACUCUGUAGUGAUACUUUGGUGUGUAUGUGUAAACCUAACACUGCAUGACAUUUUAUUGUGGAUUUUUAUUGAUAUUGUGUGUAGUGCAUGCUUCUGCGGUGUUGGGGCUGCUGUCUCCCACAGGCCUCCCUGGUGGGACGUGUGUGCGGGUAGGCCCGACCUUCUUAAUUUGAGGAUUUCGAUUGCCAACAUCCAAACAAGUCACUGUUUUCUCAGGUUGCCUCAUGCCUCUGCUAUUUUGUUUUCAUAUUGAUUAUUUUUAAUAAACUUAAACUCAUUUUCAUAUAAACACACGCCUCUUUCCAAUUGUUCCUGCUUGGGGAAGUAAGAGUUGGUCACAAGACAUACUACUGCGGGUUUAAGGGCUCCUGCCCCUUAACAGAAGGUGGCGUUGUCGAG